rnacentral:misc_RNA from 1 species
GAUGAAGAACGUAGUGAAAUGCGAUACGUAAUGUGAAUUGCAGAAUUCAGUGAAUCAUCGAGUCUUUGAACGCACAUUGCGCCCCCUGGUAUUCCAAAGGGCAUGCCUGUUCGAGCGUCAUUUGUACCCUCAAGCUUUGCUUGGUGUUGGGCGUCUUGUCUCUAGCUUUGCUGGAGACUCGCCUUAAAGUAAUUGGCAGCCGGCCUACUGGUUUCGGAGCGCAGCACAAGUCGCACUCUCUAUCAGCAAAGGUCUAGCAUCCAUUAAGCCUUUUUUUCAACUUUUGACCUCGGAUCAGGUAGGGAUACCCGCUGAACUUAAGCAUAUCAAUAAGCGGAGGA